rnacentral:rRNA from 1 species
UACGGAGGGUGCAAGCGUUGUUCGGAAUCAUUGGGCGUAAAGGGCGCGUAGGCGGGACGUUAAGUCCGAUGUGAAAUCCCUCGGCUCAACUGAGGACGUGCAUCGGAUACUGGCGACCUUGAGUCCUGGAGAGGGUAGCGGAAUUCCCAGUGUAGAGGUGAAAUUCGUAGAUAUUGGGAGGAACACCUGUGGCGAAAGCGGCGCACUGGACCACAUCUGACGCUGAGGCGCGAAAGCUAGGGGAGCAAACAGG